GAUGAAGAACGCAGCGAAAUGCGAUAAGUAAUGUGAAUUGCAGAAUUCAGUGAAUCAUCGAAUCUUUGAACGCACAUUGCGCCCGCGAGUAUUCUCGCGGGCAUGCCUGUCCGAGCGUCAUUUCAACCCUCAAGCCCCCGGGUUUGGUGUUGGGGAUCGGCUCUGCCCUUCUGGGCGGUGCCGCCCCCGAAAUACAUUGGCGGUCUCGCUGCAGCCUCCAUUGCGUAGUAGCUAACACCUCGCAACUGGAACGCGGCGCGGCCAUGCCGUAAAACCCCAACUUCUGAAUGUUGACCUCGGAUCAGGUAGGAAUACCCGCUGAACUUAAGCAUAUCAAUAAGCGGAGGA
rnacentral:misc_RNA from 1 species